GCAAUGUCUCCUUUGUUUUAUUGUUGGUAUAUAAACUUAAAAUCUCAGUUCUUUUUAUGGCACUUGUGGAGCCACUUCCUCUCCUCACCAAAAAAUGCCCAGUACCCUGAAUCCGAUCAAAUUACUCUCCUAAAGUAUAAGGCUUAGUUUCUGUGUGCUGCUUCGCGAGACAGUUCCCACAAAUCGAGAGUGUUAAUCAGACUUUUGUGUUUUCUUUUUUGGAUUGCUGUUGUUUGUUUUCAUUUAUCAUUUGUCUUUGCCUAAGCCAGGCUCAUCAAGAAUUAACAGCCAUCAGGCUGCCGAUGUGCUGACAGCAGACCCACUUAGAGUCCUGUGUUUGUAAUUCCAUGCAUUUGUUAUUUUACCUGUUUUGUCCCUGCCCCUUCUAGUCCUGUGCCUCCUGAUUGCUGAGUGUUCACCUGGACCUUCUGACUACCUUCCCUGUGCUAUUCCAUCAGCCUACAGACCUGGUACCUGGAUUUUUGCCCGAGAUGAUUCCUACCACCUUACUACUGACGAAGACACCCAUUCCAGUGGACCACUGUGACCCAGGAGGCAUUCAGCCAUCAUGAUGUGGCCUUUACCUCCACUCCUGUCUUGUUCUACCCAGAUUCAGCACAGCCCUUUAUAGUGAAGUCAGAGUCCUCAAGCCAAAUAGCUAAAGCUGUUUUAUCACAACAAAGGCCUAGUUUGUUCCAUGAGUGUGCAUUUCAUUUCUUCAGUUAAAGCCUUCAGAGACACACAAUAAAUUUGGACCAGGGGAUUUUUUAGUUAUUAAUGCUCUCUGAAGAAAGGCAACAUCUUUUUGAGAGCAGCAUUGGACCACACCCCACAAUCUCAAAUGAUUGAAAUUCAUGAACAUCUAGGAUCCCGUGAAGGUCACUGGACCCUGUUUUUUCUACUUCAAAUCCUGUAGUAGCCUACUGAAUGAGAAAACAUAUUCUGACCCAUUGGGAUCAAAUCAAAGGCACAGUGAACUCCUCAUAGCAUCUUCUUUGGAAUUACUCAGGAACCAGAACUUUUUACACAAAUGUAAGAAAUUCUACCAAGGAGUCCCCUUACCUAACAGCAUCUCACAAGGCUGCACCAGAUUCCAGAAAAGGCUUCUCUUGAUACAUCAAGCAUUUUGUGACCGACUUAUUCUUAGAUCAUUGGUUUUCCAAAGGCUUUGUGGCCAUGAAGCCCUUUGAGUGAAAACUGUGCAGAAGCCCAGAGUAAAAGUGAAGCUGCUCUGGAUGAAGUAGUGAAGCAAGAGUAGGGGCCUGAAUCCUGCUACAACUAUCUUCCUUUACCACCGUGGUGACACCUAAGGGGACUUCCUUACAACACCUUGAACUCUUCCGAACACAGUUUGAAAACCACUGCCCCAGACAGCAAUAUGUUUGACCUGAAUGGCAUUCCAAUCUUUUCUGUACCUCCACUCAGCACAGUUCAUGUUCAGUAGAUGCUGAACAUUCUUAGAAAUACUGUGUGUGAACUUAGAAAAGUGCAAGAAGACAGGCAUGUCUUUGACCCCAGGAAUGAUCAUUUGCUGAAGAUGGUGUCAAGUGAACCUAGAUUAACAGCCCUCCACUCCAGAUGGAUAUCCAGUGAUUCCUAGAAUGGGAUAUAGCCAGAGAACAAUUCUAUGCACCCUACACUGACAGACUCCCUUAAGCAACACCAGAUGCUCUACUGGUACUUGAAGUACAUGACUUUGAAGUCUUGACCCUCCAUGAAUACCUGAAUUAUCAGCAAGCGGGUUUUGAAGCUGGUGCCUCAUUGAGGCCAUAUUAGAGCAACUUGUACAUUUGACCUCUUGUUAUCAGCCAUGGUACUCUACUUCGUGUGCAAGAGAUAACUAUGAAAGCCAAAUUCAAAUACUGGCAACAUUUCCUAAAGGGGCUCAAUAUCUAUCAUUCGUCUUCUUUUCCAAACUACACAUCACUGUAUGACUCAACCAGUAGCAGUUAUAUUGCCCCUUGGUUUUUAUUCAGUUUAACUACUGUUUCCAAGAUAAAUGAGCUAAUAAGCUUUAAAAAAAAAAAAAAAAAAGGCUGAAUUCUUUUUUCUUCAUCACUGGCAUAUCUGCCUAUUCUCCAGAAUUAUUAUGACUAUUCAGCUCACUUUAACAGUUGAACUUCAAGCGACAAUCUUUGAACACCCCUUCUCAUGUGAUUUAAAAUGAAACCAUUUGGAAAAGUUUCUUCUAGCCAGUAAUAGAUUUUUUUUUUAAUUGCUCUGCCUUGUGCCGAGAGAUGUUCUUUUAAGAUGAAUCUUUUGAUGUCUGAUACCACCAAAUAUAGGUGGUAGGGAGAGUUGGAGGCUGGCCCUUUGAGCAGGCCAUUAGCUUACUUGCUGGGCAUUUCCGAUAGCUUAUUGCCUACCUUUUUGCUGGAAACAAACUGAUUUGAAAAACAAAAUCUAUGAAGACUGCAGCUAAGGAUUUUAUCGGUAGACUUAAGAGCUUUUGUCCUUGUGGAUAUUUUAGUGGAACCACAUCAGUCUCAAUACUGUCAUUUUACACUGACUCAGAGCAGCUGACUUCAUUCCUUGCCAUGAUAUAUAUUUAAGGCAGGCAUUGUAACAGACAUAAAGACAACUUAUCUGUUUCAGCAGGAAGGAUUCAGUUUAUGAACUCUCAGACCAGAUCAUGUUGAACAAGGAGACUUUGAUGUGUGUCAUGAGAAAACUCAUUCUUUACUUCCCAGUCAAUUUAAAGGCCAGCUAUCCUGAGCUACUCGAAUGAAUGCACUGGUUAAACAUUGGAAAUAGUUUGUUUAUAUCCUUGUCUCUCUCUAGGCCAAUUGUGAUUACAUGACUCGACUCUACAUCUCGUCAAACAAGGCCUAGGUCUGGUUGCUGUAGACUGCUCGCCCUCAACAAAUAAAAUCUGGUUGACUAGCCUCCUUGUAUAUACAACUAUUAUUUGUUAAGAAGAAAUUAUCGUCAAUUUUCUACUACCUUCCAAUUGUCAGCUCUUUUUUUCCUCUCUGGUUUUUCCUAUACUUUACAGAAAAAGACAUUGAUCUAUACUGCCAUUCCCUCUAAUCCUGCCAUACUCAGUCAAAAGGAAUGACUUAAGAUGAAGAUGAUCAUCUGCUCGAGUCUAAAAUAUACAUUGUAUAUAAGAAUUGGUGAUUAGAAAAGCAAAAAACCUAAAACUUAAAUCUAGGAGUCUGUAUACUGUCUCCAUGUCUCCAUGCCUCAGAUCUCAUCUAAAUCUUUGAACAGCACCAUUCAACCAAUCUGAGGCCUUGACUUGCUUGUAAGAUGAUUCUCAGAGAUCGGCUGAGUUAAAAAAGAUGACGACUUGAUUACCAAAGAAAGUAGGGCCAACUUUGACAAAUCUGGCUCUGCUGACCCUGUCACUCCCAGAUGUAGCAUAGACUCCUAAACAGAACCUCAAGUCUGAUUGAGGAUAAGGCCUUCUCCUGAGCUGAAAGUUCUUUGGCAGAUGAGCAAGAAACUGAAAGCUGAUGUACCUGACUGGCUCUGUAAGAUCAGAAAACUGUAUCCAGAAUAAGCCCUAUGGAUUAACCCCUGAGUACCCAGAGUAAAAACUAAUUUACAGAACUUCCUUAUUGAUCUGCUGGUUCUUCCAGAUCAUAUUCUGGCUAUUGGUAUGGCUGGCCUUUCUGAAGGUACCCUGCUUGUCUAUUUUCCUGACUCAGCUCUUGCCUGCCUUUUUCACAUGUUGCUGCAAUUAGACUCACCGUGAGGACUACAGUCAAUUUCAGUCUAUCUUGUGCCCAAUACAACAAGGAUUUUUAAUAGUAACAACCCACACCUCACCCACUAGGACUCAAUGUUCACAACAGGAAGGACCAUUGCUGCAUACUCCUUGACCAGCAACUUUUUUGAAGAUAUUUUUAAGUGCAGAGUAGGCCUCUAUUCCUGUAUGUAAUUGUUCAUUUUCAGCACCUGGAACCUCAUCUAUCGGGUCUGGAAGGAAUACAGCAGUUCGAAAGCCGCGUCCAUUUCUCUCCUUCAGUAGUGCAGAAAUGAGUCCGAUUCACCAGUACACACAGAACUGUACCAGUUCAACCUAGCAAAAGAAGAAAAGUUUCCACUGUACUUAAAAUUUACAGCUGACUCAAAUUGCCUCACAGAAUUAUUUGAUGUAGAAGGCUAGUUGUCUUACUUCAGAUCAGCAGGACAGUUGGGCUCUCAGACUCAUGACCACUGAGUUUGCUUGUGUUGAAACUGUGGUUUCAUCCAACAUAUGCUAUUGGACAUGAUUAUUAUUCCAUUCAAAUGGAUUACAGACUUCUUGAGGACAGGACAAACUUAUCUCUCAUGGUGUUUUUUUAGAAUACUUUUAUAACCAAGGAAGAAACCAUGCCAGCUGUUACCAUUCAACUUCUUAAGCAGAGAUUAAGCUUUUUCAUAUCUGUUCUUAUCCUGGACAUCAGUAGUUUUUAAUUGCCCAGCAUCCGUUCCAUCUUGUAACAACUCCCUGAUGUUUCUUAAAACCACCUCUUCCUAUUUUCAGUCUGUGGUUUGGACAGUCUGACCCAACCUUGAGCUUUGUGGGUGAACAUGUAAUUCAGACCUCAUCAAUCAGCAAAUCCAUCUGAACUGUGGAGGAGAAGCUCUCUUUACUGAGGGUGCUUUAGCUUUGUAGGAUGAAAACCUCAAACUAACAGGGCCUACCAUGUAGAGAAUGAAGCCAGUGCAGGGGAAAGCAGAGCCAAAAUAUGGAGAGACUUGAAUCCUGAUGACAGCGUUUGUGCCCCUGGAUCCAACCGUGCCUGAAGCUAGAAUAUCCCCUGGACUUUUCAGUUAUGUGAACCAAUAAAUACCCUUUUUUGCUUAAGUUACUUUGAGUUGGGUUUCUGUUACUUGAAAUUGAAUCCACACUAAUAUAUCUACCAACAUUGAGACUUGACAGAUCCAAGUAUUUAUUAAGCUAGAGGUCAUGGUCACUGAAAUUACUUUCCAAAGUGGAAGACAAAAUGAAACAGGAACUGAGGGAAUAUUUAAGAUCCCACAGAAGCGUAAAAAUGACAUGGUAGAAAGUAAUAGAAAACCUAAAUGUCUGUCAUUAAAGGAUAGGUUAAGGUGUGGUUCAGCCAUAUAGGAAUAUCUCGUAUCUGUUAAAAUGAAUAAAGUACAUUCAUUGUGUAUGGAAAAAUGGCCAUGAUACAUUAGGUGAAACAAGUUAUUAAUAGAAAAGUGUACAGUGUGAACUCAUUUUAAAAUGUGUGUGCUUAUGUUUAUAAAUGCAUAGAAAGGUCUAUUCACAGCUUUCUUUGAACAGUGUAGAUCACAUGAAACUUUCAACUUUAUACAUUUCUGUAUUAAUAUUUUACACUACCCACAUUAUUUUUAAACUUUAUUUUAAAUAAAGAAUUUUUAAAAUUAAAUUUAGUGCUUACUGUUUGACCUUGGCAAGUUAUUCAACACUGAGCCUGUUUUAUCAAAUGAUUUA
rnacentral:lncRNA from 1 species